AUUGAACGCUGGCGGCAGGCCUAACACAUGCAAGUCGAGCGGAGCGGCGGACGGGUGAGUAAUGCCUAGGAAUCUGCCGGGUAGUGGGGGAUAACGUCCGGAAACGGGCGCUAAUACCGCAUACUAUCAGAAGAGCCUAGGUCGGAUUAGCUAGGUGGUGGGGUAAAGGCUCACCUAGGCGACGAUCCCUAGCUGGUCUGAGAGGAUGACAAGCCAAACGGGAACUGAGACACGGUCCAGACUCCUACGGGAGGCAGCAGUGGGGAAGAUUGCACAAUGGGCGCAAGCCUGAUGCAGCCAUGCCGCGUGUAUGAAGAAGGCCUUCGGGUUGUAAAGUACUUUCAGCGGGGAGGCGUUACCCGCAGAAGAAGCACCGGCUAACUCCGUGCCAGCAGCCGCGGUAAUAC
rnacentral:rRNA from 1 species